rnacentral:lncRNA from 1 species
AGGCUGCAUCUAGGGGAAGGCACAGUGCCCACAGUCGGCACCGACUGUAUACAAACCGGAUCCCAGGGCCUCUCAUGGGUGGCGCCCUUGUCCCUACCUGGGUGCAACCUUCAGGCUCUGUCUGCCUUGGGCCACGGCCCCGACUGCGGCACCCACUUAGGCGCUGGUGAGAGCCCUCCGUCGCCCCACAGCCCUGCUCAGGCCUCGUCAGCCACCUGGUGGGGGCUGUGGCCCGUGGCCUGCGGCCUGAGCCCAGGCAGCUCCGAGAGGCCUCCUGUUGCUAUAAAGGCGUCAGGGAAGCCCACCAUCGCCCUCCGGGGCCACAGCCUGGCGAGGGAAGUCACAGGGGCUGGGGUCAGGUACAGAGGUGCCUGUGCUAGCCUGGGGGGCUGGGCACUGGCCCACGUCCUCACCCUGAGAGUGGCCCCCGCACAGGCGGAGAGUGGGGUGGUUGUGGGAUGGCCCCGGGCACCACGUGCUGGCGGAGGAGCCCAGCGUCACAUCCCAGCAUCCUCUUCCUCACUGCCCACAUGCGGUCGGGCCUCACUCACUCCGGGGCCCCGCUCCCUAGCAGGGCCGUGGACCGCUAGUUUCUGCCUCUCUGCUCAGCCCUCUGUGCCCAUCCGGGGCUCGGGGGCAGCCCCAGGCUCCGUCCAUGUCUUUCUGAGGAGUCCCAGUGGACACCUGAGGCGGGCCCUGUGCCUGCAGGGCACCGGUGAGCAGAGCAGGCCCCUCCACGGGGUCCGGCGUCCCCAGCAGAAUCCCCCCGCCCGUCUUCUGAGGGGCUGCAGUGCCAGGCUUCCCGUGGCGGGGGAGCCGGCUGCCAUGCAGGUUCCUGGGCCGCACCCGGCCUCACUGCGCUGGGGCUGUGCCCCGCAUGGGAAUUUUCAUAGCCCCUCCCCCAGAAAGCCCAGCGCCCGUCUCAGUUUUGCGUUUCCACUGUGCAACGCGACUGGCGGGGCGGGGGGACACCUGGGCCCCCUGGGCAGGUCAGGAAGGUGCCAGCAGAGGACGUGCGUGCCGACGCCACGCGCCCCGUCUGUGACCGAGUGCCACGUCGCUCGCUCUGCUCGGCGAGGUCGUGUCCAAGGCGCUUGGGUCCAGGCUGCACGUCAGUCUUCUGGGUCACUUCCAGUUUGUGUCCGGGAUGAGGCUGCCUAG